GCUCAGAUUGAACGCUGGCGGCAGGCCUAACACAUGCAAGUCGAGCGGUAGAGAGAAGCUUGCUUCUCUUGAGAGCGGCGGACGGGUGAGUAAUGCCUAGGAAUCUGCCUGGUAGUGGGGGAUAACGUUCGGAAACGAACGCUAAUACCGCAUACGUCCUACGGGAGAAAGCAGGGGACCUUCGGGCCUUGCGCUAUCAGAUGAGCCUAGGUCGGAUUAGCUAGUUGGUGAGGUAAUGGCUCACCAAGGCGACGAUCCGUAACUGGUCUGAGAGGAUGAUCAGUCACACUGGAACUGAGACACGGUCCAGACUCCUACGGGAGGCAGCAGUGGGGAAUAUUGGACAAUGGGCGAAAGCCUGAUCCAGCCAUGCCGCGUGUGUGAAGAAGGUCUUCGGAUUGUAAAGCACUUUAAGUUGGGAGGAAGGGCAUUAACCUAAUACGUUAGUGUUUGACGUACCGACAG
rnacentral:rRNA from 1 species